rnacentral:rRNA from 1 species
CGCUGGCGGCGUGCCUAAUACAUGCAAGUCGAGCGGAGUGAUGAAGAAGCUUGCUUCUUCUGAUUUUAGCGGCGGACGGGUGAGUAACACGUGGGCAACCUACCUUGUAGAUUGGGAUAACUCCGGGAAACCGGGGCUAAUACCGAAUAAUCCAUUUUGCUUCAUGGCGAGAUGUUAAAAGGCGGCUUCGGCUGUCACUACGAGAUGGGCCCGCGGCGCAUUAGCUAGUUGGUAGGGUAAUGGCCUACCAAGGCGACGAUGCGUAGCCGACCUGAGAGGGUGAUCGGCCACACUGGGACUGAGACACGGCCCAGACUCCUACGGGAGGCAGCAGUAGGGAAUCUUCCACAAUGGACGAAAGUCUGAUGGAGCAACGCCGCGUGAGUGAAGAAGGUUUUCGGAUCGUAAAACUCUGUUGUAAGGGAAGAACACGUACGAGAGUAACUGCUCGUACCUUGACGGUACCCUAUUAGAAAGCCACGGCUAACUACGUG